AGGCCGGCCUCCCGCCCCCUAGUCUGGAGCCCGCUGCCCGCUGGAGCUUGAGGGAUUCUGCCUGGGUUUGACCGUCGCGUCCCGGACAGGUUAAUACAGAGGCCACCCGGUUCACGUCAGACCUGCCUUUGCCCACCAGGGGUCUAAGUAAAAACUACCACAAGCAGCAAGACUUCCACUGUCCUCUGCGUCCCAACCACAAUCCUGAGGCCAAUGGUGACGGCACUUGUAGAGACAGAAGGUAGCAGUUCCUUUCUGACACUUGUCCACCAACCCAAAAAUUGGGCAAAAAUCAAAACCUCCCUCCAUGCAUCUUCUUAACGGACUCUGCUUGCUCUCCAUUCCCACUGGCUCCGCCCCAAGCUGCUCCCCAUCGCUUGAAUUAUUGCCUGAGCUCCACCUCCUGUCAGAUCAGCGGUGGCAUUAGAUUCUCAUAGGAGUGCAAACCCUAUUGUGAACUGCGCAUGUGAGGGAUCUAGGUUGCUCGCUCCUUAUGAGAAUCUAAUGCCUGAUGACCCGUCACUGUCUCCCAUCACCCCUAGAUGGGACCGUCUAGUUGCAGGAAAACAUGCUCACGGCUCCCACUGAUUCUACAUUAUGGUGAGUUAUAUAAUUAUUUCAUUAUAUAUUACAAUCUAAUACCAAUAGAAAUGAAGUCCACAUUAAAUGUAAUGCACUUGAAUCAUCCCGAAACUAUCCAACCCCCACCCUGUCCUGAUCUGUGGAAAAAUUGUCUUCUACGAAACUGGUCUCUGGUGCCAAAAAGACUGGGGACAGUUGCUUUAACAGACCAGGCCUCUCUCCCUUUUGGAUCACCAAUGGCCAGCAGCUAUCCUUCCAACCAUGUGGAGAAAGCCUGCAGCUAGCAUACCAACGGAAGCAGGAACAAGAGGUGAAGACAUAGGCCAGGAGCGGUGGCUUACGCUGUGAUCCCAACACUUUGGGAGGCCAAGGCGGGCAGAUCACCUGAGGUCGGGAGUUCAAGACCAGCCUGACCAACAUGGAGAAACCCUGUCUCUACUAAAAAUACAAAAAAAUUAGCUGGACGUUGUGGUGCACGCCUGUAAUCCCAACUACUCUGGAGGCCGAGGCAGGAGAAUUGCUUGAACCUGGAGGCAGAGGUUGCGGUGAGCUGAGAUCACACCACUGCACUCCAGCCUGGGCAACGAGAGCGAAACUCUGUCUCAAAAGAAAAAAAGAAAAAAAAGGUGAAGACAGACACAGACCCUGACUGUUUCAGCCCCUAGAUCCAGCCAUGCCUGAAACUGGUCCACUUACAUGAACUAAAAAAUUCCCUAUUUUUCUUAUGGUUGUUUGCUUUGGUAUCUAUCACUUGGAGCUGAACGCAUUCUGACAUAACCUCUUUGUGGUCCCAGAUUAAGAAUGUCUUUUUUCCUGGCAGCAAAUUUCCUUUUGAUGAAACUGCCAAUCAAGCUCUAGACCACCAUGAGUGGCCCCUUGCAGCCUGAGUUGCUCAGCCAGAGAUGUUUGGUUGGAAUUCAUUAGCGAUCUUAUCAUAACUGUAAAGGUAUAUUCUAUGUGGGUUUUCUGAAAUAUUUGUAAUGGCUUAAGGCAGAAUCUGGCCUGCAGACUAUUUUUGUAAAUAAAGUUUUAUUGGAACACCA